GGGCCAGCCACAGUGAAUCAGAGCCCUGCCUGUAGGCUCAUUGUGCUUCACUGUACGAGCUGCACCGCUGGGUAUUCCCCCGGCACUACCUCCGCUCAGACUACACGGCUCUACCGCACAGCAGAACGGCUACCACGUCUCCUGUGCAGACCCCGCCCCCAGCAUUUUCAUGGAGACCCCAAGCCAGCCCAGGUAGGCACUGCGGCUGGUAUUGAGAAGCAGAAGUGAAAGUGAAAUUGGCAGUAAACAGGUUUGGACAUCACUACACAACACAAUGAAUAGCCUGGAGCAAAGCUAUCCAGAAGUUAAAAACUAUAUGGCCUUUCCUUCAAUAAUCCAGAUGUCAAUUUAAAUAGAGUUUAUUUAUUCAAAAAAGGAUCACCAAUACAGACAUACCAUUAGACAUGGGAAAUCGAAUAAUUCAGUACAAGCAAUGCAGCAGUUUAUAGCAUACAUGA